UAUCUCUGUAGAGUCUGCAUAUCAAUAAGCGGAGGAAAAGAAACUAACUAGGAUUCCCUCAGUAACGGCGAGUGAAGCGGGAAGAGCUCAAAUUUGAAAUCUUCAAGGUUCUACCUUGACGAAUUGUAGUUUAAAGAAGUGUUUUCUGUUGGAGUUUUGGUAAAAGUUCUUUGGAAUAGGACAUCAUAGAGGGUGAGAAUCCCGUAUUUGACCAUCAUUUCCAGCUUUGUGAUACACUUUCAAAGAGUCGGAUUGUUUGGGAAUGCAGUCCAAAAUGGGUGGUAAAUUUCAUCUAAAGCUAAAUACUGGCGAGAGACCGAUAGCGAACAAGUACCGCGAGGGAAAGAUGAAAAGAACUUUGAAAAGAGAGUUAAACAGUACGUGAAAUUGUCAAAAGGGAAGCGUUUGACACCAGUGUUGUUUUCUCGAAAAUCAAUUAAAAAAAGUUGGAUUUUGUAUUGUUAAGACCUUAUCAGCUUACUGUACUCUUUUCUUGCUUUUUUUAAUGCACUUUUCGUUUAACAAGUCAACAUCAAUUUCUUUUGUUGUAAAAGAGUCAUUGGAAGGUGGCUUUCACUUCGGUGAAAGUGUUUAUAGCCUUUGGCUUCUGCAAUCGGAGAGAUUGAGGUCUGCAGCGUAGAUCCUUCGGGGCUAGAUACGUAGAUGCUAAGUUAUAGUUUUUUAUAGACAACUUGUUGACUAUAAUUAAUCAUGUAGCUUACUCGUUUGCGCUAUUUUACCUACGCUUAGGAUGUUGAAGAUGUAGCACAUCAU
rnacentral:rRNA from 1 species